AUGUAGACAUGGCCGGCGUGGGUCAAAGUGUAGUAUCUGUUCUUAUCAGCUUAAUAUCUGAUAUAGAUUGUAUUCGCACCCAAGAUAAUCAACACACUUUUUCAACUAGGCGGAAUGCUUGAGGCCUGAUAGCUUCCCCUCCGCCAUGGGUCGGCCAGGUAUUGCACUAUUUAUCCAACAGGAAAAAUUUCU
rnacentral:snRNA from 1 species